AAGGCCUAACACAUGCAAGUCGAGCGAACCCUUCGGGGUUAGCGGCGGACGGGUUAGUAACGCGUGGGAAUAUACCCUUUGGUACGGAAUAGCCUCGGGAAACUGAGAGUAAUACCGUAUGUGCCCUUCGGGGGAAAGAUUUAUCGCCAAAGGAUUAGCCCGCGUUGGAUUAGAUAGUUGGUGGGGUAAUGGCCUACCAAGUCUACGAUCCAUAGCUGGUUUGAGAGGAUGAUCAGCAACACUGGGACUGAGACACGGCCCAGACUCCUACGGGAGGCAGCAGUGGGAAUCUUAGACAAUGGGCGCAAGCCUGAUCUAGCCAUGCCGCGUGGACGAUGAAGGCCUUAGGGUUGUAAAGUCCUUUCAGAUGGGAAGAUAAUGACGGUACCAUCAGAAGAAGCCCCGGCUAACUCCGUG
rnacentral:rRNA from 1 species